rnacentral:misc_RNA from 1 species
GAUGAAGAACGCAGCGAAACGCGAUAGUUAAUGCGAAUUGCAGAAUUCCGUGAGUCAUCGAAUCUUUGAACGCACAUUGCGCCCUUUGGUAUUCCGAAGGGCAUGCCUGUUCGAGCGUCAUUAUCAACCCUCAAGCCCGGCUUGCCGUUGGGUCCCGUAGGGGUGCGAAUCUCAACGGACCUCAAAGAUAGUGGCAGAGCCCGUACGGACCCUGGAUGCAGCGAGCUUUCUGGCACGCAUCACAGCAAUCCGCCGGCUCGGUCUUAACCGUCAAUUUUUUUUCACUGGUUGACCUCGGAUCAGGUAGGGAUACCCGCUGAACUUAAGCAUAUCAAUAAGCGGAGGA